rnacentral:rRNA from 1 species
GACGAACGCUGGCGGCGUGCUUAACACAUGCAAGUCGAACGGAAAGGCCCUGCUUGCAGGGUGCUCGAGUGGCGAACGGGUGAGUAACACGUGGGUGAUCUGCCCCUUACUUUGGGAUAAGCCUGGGAAACUGGGUCUAAUACUGGAUAGGACCAUGCUGUAGGUGGUGUGGUGGAAAGAUUAGUUUCGGUAAGGGAUGAGCUCGCGGCCUAUCAGCUUGUUGGUGGGGUAAUGGCCUACCAAGGCGUCGACGGGUAGCCGGCCUGAGAGGGUGGACGGCCACAUUGGGACUGAGAUACGGCCCAGACUCCUACGGGAGGCAGCAGUGGGGAAUAUUGCACAAUGGGCGCAAGCCUGAUGCAGCGACGCCGCGUGGGGGAUGACGGCCUUCGGGUUGUAAACUCCUUUCAGCCAUGACGAAGCCCUUGUGGUGACGGUAGUGGUAGAAGAAGCACCGGCUAACUACGUGCCAGCAGCCGCGGUAAUACGUAGGGUGCGAGCGUUGUCCGGAAUUACUGGGCGUAAAGAGCUCGUAGGUGGUCUGUCGCGUCAUUUGUGAAAGCCCGGGGCUUAACUCCGGGUUGGCAGGUGAUACGGGCAUGACUGGAGUACUGUAGGGGAGACUGGAAUUCCUGGUGUAGCGGUGAAAUGCGCAGAUAUUAGGAGGAACACCGGUGGCGAAGGCGGGUCUCUGGGCAGUAACUGACGCUGAGGAGCGAAAGCAUGGGUAGCGAACAGG